GCUCGGUUUAGAGCUGGGGCUGGCGGCGGAGGGAUACUCCGGCCGGGAGCCGCCUCACCCCUCCUCAAACUUCCUGACAUUUGAACUCAUUGGUGCGCCUCGUAUCCCUGCGCCGGGAUGAGCCGGCGGCUCCACGUCAAAUAGUGCCGUCGCCGCCCCCCCGCGGGAGGGCUCCCCGUGCCCCCAGCCAGUGUCCCGCGCUGCGCCUGGCCCCGAGCUCCGGCCCCGGCUUCCCUGCCCGUCCGGUCGCCCUGAUGGUCCCUCGAAGAAAAUUGGGUCGCCUUUGAAACAAUCCUCUGCCCCACCUCCUUGGAAAAUUGAUUUGGGAGUUGGGAAAUGGAGGCUUUCUUUUUUUCUUCCUUUCCUUCUUUAUUAUUAAUAUUUUGUAAAGCUUCAGUGCUAAGAGGAGUGGCCCCGAGCAAGGCCAGACUGCGCGGACGGCGGGGAGCGCAGCGGCUCCUCCCGGGUACGGCGCCAGCCGGCAGCGGCCGCCCGGGGACUCCGACAGUCGGCAGAGGUAGGUCGCAGGGGCUAAGUUGGCGUCUCCCGGGCGGCGGCGGGUGCCCACACACCUCGGUUCGCUGAGAGGGCUGGCUGCCGGGAUUGAGGGACCGAGGCGAGCAGAAGAAGACUGCUGGCUUCGGCCUCGCCUAAGGGAGGCCCGGCCCAGGGAGGGAGAGUGGGACCGGGUUUCGGGUGGGGAGUCGGGAAAGCUUCAUGCUGGCAGAGAUCGGAUGGAGGAGCGAGCUGAAGGAGGAAUUGGGGCCCCGAGAUCGAGAAUGCGGGACAUUGGGUAGGCGAGGAAGGUCAGGCCCGGGUUCAGGCGAAGAGUUUAGAUGAUGAUUGAGGCUGGGAAAGGGGACCAAGGCAGGGGCGGGGACCCUGGGCUGGAGCUGGGCCUCGCAGGGUUUGGCGUGUAAGACGCGGGUAGGGAGUGGUGGCCCCAAGGUCUAGAGGUAAAGGCACGGGAUGACUUGUGCUCGGUCACCCCAAGGAAAUCAGGUUGGACACUGGGAGAAGCACCCUUUGGCGACGGCCGAGGAUCCCAGUUAGGAGUCGGUAGGCUGGGCAGGUCAGGAACGGUGUCCUGGCCAUCACCGGCAAAGUGGGCCUAGACAUCUCCUAGCGAAAGCCCGGCUAGACCUAGCUGACGACUCCCGCGCCCGUCGGGCCUGGCACCGGCUCUGGACUCAGGAGGCCAAUGCGUCGGGCCACAGGGCGUCAUGCUCGGGCUGUGGCCCCUGGGUCCUCCCCAACGCACUGCUAGUCCAGGGACAGUAGGGCUGGUGCAGCCCUGAGGCAGGCGCGGGCUGCUGGGUGAGCCGCUGCAGGGCUGCCAGAGCCCCUCCCGGAGAGGAGCAGCGGCGCGGAGCGGGGCGGGGGCGGAGGGCAGGGGGGGCGGGUCCCCUGACCCCGCUGGAGGCGAGAGGGCGGAUCGGAUUUGGAACCUGCGGGAGGCUUGGUCAGAAGUGGCCCCUUGUGCCGCGGGGCCCCGCGGAGGGGCCCGGCUUUGUCAAGGAUUAGGAGCUCCCACCCCAGUACCUGCGUAUGUGUUGGUGGGUAUCUGUGUGUGUUUGUGAGUCUGCACUCUCCCCUGAGGUUCUUGCGUACUUGUGCACCCGUUUCUCUGAGCACAUAUUUUUGUGUCCUUGUCACUUUUCGGGAUCUAAAAGUGUGAAUCCGACUCUGAUUACCCUAGAUCCUUGUGUGUGUGUGGGGGGGAUCUAUAGAUCCUUUCAUGCUUCUGAGUCUUAGGUGCUUUGGUACAUCUUUGUUGGUGUCCCUGUGUGUCUGUGUCACUCUAUGUGGGUGCCUACAUCUUGUGUGUGUCUCAGCCCCUGUAUUAUGUUUGGAAGGUUUUUCUGCUUAUGUGUAUCUUCAUGUCACAUGUGCGCGCCUAACUCCGAGUUCCUGAAUGAUUCUGUCUCCAAGAGGGGGGGUGUUUGUGUGUAUGCGUGUGUGUGUGUGUCUUUGUGUCUCUCUAUAUGUUUCGGCAUCUUUGUGUGUCUGUAUUCUGGAGGAUGCAGGAGUAGAUGUUCAGUGUACAACCUGGCCCCCUCUGCACGUCUCCUCCCGCACACGCCCUUGGUCCCUUGUCUUUGCUUAAUCUUUGAAACCCCAGGUCAUGAGCCCCGAGGUUGGCCUGAGCCUGGGCGGUCUUCUUCGGAUAUCUGAGCCUGGGCGCUCCACUGCCGGGAGAAGCCUGGCAAACUAGACUCCAGCACACAGAGCCUGGAGGCGCGGAUCCCCGCGCGGGGCGGGCGGGUGGACCGGGCGCAUUCUGCCCUCUGCUGGCCAUGAUUUGUCCCUGCAAUGCUGCUGGGCGACCGCCUGUUGGCCUUGUUCCAGGACCAGACCCAGACCCUGGCCCUCUCCAGGGCGCACUGAGAGUCCUCUCCUGUUAUAGGCCCUGGCCCUUCAACUCCGGGCGCAAUGUUCCACCCCCCUCCUGUUUCCCGUUCUCUAUCACACCGUCCCCGUUCCCUGCCCUUCCCCUCUACACCUCUCCUGUGCACCCACUCUGCCCCCCACUGCUGAAUGGAGGCUUUUCAGGCUUCCUUGUCCCUCUGGCUGGCGAUUGUGUUCAGGGGGCUCCUUCGCACAGCGCCUGAAAGCAGGGUUUCACUGAAGUACCCCUGAUAGUCUCUGCCGCAGCCGGUGCUCCCGGGCGCAUAGAUUCUUGGCGUUUCUCUCAGCGUCCCUGUUGUAAUCACAGCCCAUGCCACCAGCCACCACCUGGGACAGGCUGCCAGCGCCUGCAACUGGGUGAAGCCAGGCUGCCUUCUCUGGUCCUUCUCUGUUCAGUGUACAACCUGGCCCCCUCAGCACCCCCAUGCACUUCCUGUAGGCCCUGUUCCUUGCCCCUUGUCCGUCUCUCUGUGUUCCCCAUCACCCCAGUUGAGAUGGCCCUCGGGGUCCUGUGCUUACUGCCCCCUGAGGCCCCAGGUCUCUCUCUCUCUCCCAAGCACCACCAGAGCUCCUGUGCCUCCGGAUCACUGUCCCUGCCCAAGAACAAGGCUGCCGCAUAGGGGCCUAGGCCCAGAACCAGCUCCUGCUGUUGGGAGCCAAGCCACACCUGGCUCCGCCUGACCAGCCCUGAGCUCUUGCGUACUGGCGGAUCCCACCCGUUGCCCUGUGACCCACCGCACCAGUGGCCCCUCGCACCCCCUGGUGCUGUCGGACCAGACCCGGAUGCUCUCUGGCUUGGACUUCAGUGGCAGAACCAGCAGGGGAUUGUCUCCAAAACUGAAUCGGCGACUUGAAAUUGCUCUUGAGAAACAAGAAGGCUGGGAAGGAGACUGGUCUCUUCCUAGUCUGCAAGACACCUCAUCUCCACCGAGCCCUGCCCCGUUCCCCUGGCUCCUCUUCUUAAUUCCUCACACACUUCCUCGCAACCCGCUUACUGCGAGCUAGGAGCCAGCACAGCUGGUAGGACUUUCCCCAGGGAGCCUGACCCAGGUUGCCAUGAUUUCGUGGCGGUUUCCUGAUUCCGACCAGAGUGGAGCCAGAGGACCCUCCCGUGUAGAGCCCCAGCACCUCGGCUGGAGGCAUGCGGAUGGGCGGGGAUGGAGCAGGAGCUUCUAGUUUCUGCCCUCAGGGGACAGCCAGGGCCGCUGGAUUGUCCUGGCUGCGGGGGACCUUUGGUUGUCUGGGAGAGCCGCAGCUGGGCCUGGGCCAGGUUAGGAGCUGCUAGUCCCGGGAUCUGACCCACGAGGGAGGGUGCUGGAAGUGCAUUGAGGACACCUCUGCUGCUGGGAAUCUCUGAGCUAGCUGCAGAGGAGCUCCCCUGUAGGUCCCAGCUGAGCAUGGCCGGGCCAUGGGGGUCAGAGGGUCUGGCAGCAUAGAGUAACAUUGUCCUGGCUUCCCCACAGCCCCAUGAAGUGUCCGUGGUCUUCCUGUCUUCCCUGUGAGGGCGGUAGAGCCCCAGAGACCCUGAGCCCAGGCGGAGGGCCAUAGGACCCAGUGACUGGGAAGCCUCUGAGACGGUCUUUCCGCCCCAGGACUGCGGCUGGGUCUCACCUUCCCUGCUGGAAGCUCCUCACCCCCAGGGUGUGGGGCAAGGGUAGCAGGGAGACAGGAACUCACUGGUGAGGCAGUGUGGCCCUGAAUGCCGAGUGUGGGCCGAGUGUGGGCCGUGUCCAGCGUGGGAGAUGAACACACCACAGCCAAGUCCCUCUGCCCUCCUGGCAGGGCACCCUCACCCUCCAGUCACAGACCCAGGACUUUUCAACACAAGGUCAGACUCAUUAGUCCUGGGAUUCUUCCCAGUGUCAGGAGAUCAAUCUCCCUGGUCCCCGCCUUCAGAGAAUGACUGCCCUGGCUGGGUGGCCCAGGGCUGAGGCCUCCCUCUGACCGGGCAGUGGUUAGGUGUGUUCAAGAAUGGGUCUCAGGGAGUCCGCGAGCUCUGGUUCAGGAUGUGGAUGUGGAAUCUCAGAAAAGGUUUACAGUUCUGUGCCUCAGGGCUCUCCUCUGUAAAAUGGGCAUAAUGAUAACAUCUCUCCCAUAGAGUAGCUGAGAGGAUGAAGUAUAAGGACUUGCCCAGGGCCCAGCCAUAGUGGGGCUCCAUGAAUAUUUGGUGAAUAAUUGGAUGGGGAUCCUUGCUUAAAAGGGGGGGCACUUAAGAAAACCACAACUGCCUCCACCUCCUACAGCUAGGGCCUUAGGACAGACCUGACCUAAGCUCAACCAUGUUCCUUCCUUUAGGGCAGGUGAAGCCCAGCUGCAGGCUGAGCACAGGACAUCCCCCAACCACCAGCAGCAGCAGCAGCAGUGCCCAGGCCCCCAGCACAAGCAGCUCAGCCUCCUCCCCUCGUCCCACCCUGGAAAGAUUCUCUGGGAAAGAUUAGAAUUAGGGGCUUCAGCCCAUUGCAUUGAGAGCACAGUGUGGGACUCUCCAAGUGUCACUUAUAGUUAUUUUUAGCAGGCUCUUUCCUCAAGAAUCUAUGGAUUUCUUGCCAGAUGGAUGGGCUGGGUUAUUUCAGCAACCCACUAGAACCAGGGGCUUCCCCAACAGAGGACCUGAGCCAGAACAAAGAGAAGCCAAGGACCGUAUUUGAGCCAUAAAAGCCCCAUUAGGACGCUAAGAAUAACUCACAGAAAGACAUUUUAUAUAAAUUGGACACGAAUUCACAAAAACCAGAGCGUUCAUUUGUCUCCACCCCAAGGGGUCCAUAGCUGGGGCAGGGGGGCUGGGCGUGAGGGGGGCCAGUGCCUAUCCUAUUUGAUCUUUAUCUUAAAUCCACUUCAAAAAGCUGCGGAGAGGCGGAGUUGGAGGUUCACCCCUUCCUGUAAUUAUUUGGUGUCUAGUAAAGUUUUUAUGAGUGUCUGUGCAAAUAAAUGGAUCUGAUGUGCAUUUGUUUUGGCGAGCGCCGCUUGACGUAGGAGGUGCAUGCAGCUUCAGAAAAGAGAGGCUAACGGUGAAAACAGAAAUAAAACCCAGCCCUCCAGGUCAGGCAGAGGAGUGGAGCUGUGCAGUCCCACUGAGGGCCACCAUCCCCCGGACCCAGGGGCUCAAGGGUCCCCAGGAUGCUGCAGAUCGAGGGUGCAGCCCUUGGGUUUGUGGCUCGGGGUGCUCAGGGCUGGGAGUCGGGGUUGGUGGAAUCCAGAUUUGGAAACUGAACCAGGCCUGCCUUCUGGUGUCCACUGGGUAUUCUUUAUAAAGUGAAAUUAACAGAUGAGGGUGAGGCUUUUUUUCUGUGGGGUGGGGGGGCGGGUGUCACAUUAUCAUUUAAAUGGCAGAAUAUGCCUAUUUCUUUCAGUGUGAACUCAGCACACCUGUUGGGAGGCAGAGGUGAGGUCAGAUGCAUCCACUGUCCAGCCCACUCCCUCAUUAGGCCAGGAGGGCAUUCUUUCCAUGUGGCUUGGAAAGUAGGGGACUGCCCAUUUACACCUGCCCACUAAGAGAGAGGAGUCAGCCCCGAGUGUCAGUGGGUAGAGCCCCCGUGCCCUGUCUCGGUGUCUGAAGGUGGUCCGGGGCCAGGAUGCAGCCCACAGGUGUGUUUGGUGGGACCCACCCACCCUGUCUCCUAGUCCCGCAGUCUUGAUUUAUUUGUUUUAAAAUAAUCUGAGCAUCUUCUUGAUGUAUAAUAUGCAUGAAGAAAAAUACUCAAAGUUAAAAUUACCCCACAUCAGCAAGCCCCAGAUUAAGAGAGAGAAUGUUUUUGGCGCCCCAGAAUCCCACCACAUACCCUGCUCCCAGGCACUACCUACCCUCACCACCAACUGUGACUGGGCCUCUGUCAGUAGACAUGGGUUUUGCCUGUUUUUGAAUUUUCCAGUCUGAACUCUUCCCCGUACUUCAAUCAUGGCAUUUUGCAUGAAAAAUUGAAAUUUUCUCCUGAAUAGUCAGGGAUCUGAUGAGUUUGGACCUUCAUUUCCAGCAAGGUACAGAUAACCUAGAGCAGAAUUAUGCCCCCCGCCCCCUCACAGCCCCACCCUCACCCAAGCUGGAAACCCUCCCUGUUCCUGUGUCUUGCCAGGAGGCUUUUGUGUUGGUGACUCCAGCUGUAAACCUGUGGCUACUUCCCUGAUCUUUAAUUUGUCCCCCAAAGGAGUCGUUGUAUGUACACUAGGGAGUGCAUCUGGAGUCAUCUCAGUCCCUCCAUCAGCAUCAAGUGCCCUCUGAGGUAAAGAUCAUGAGACUUUGUAACAGGUGAGGAAAGCAGCACCUCAGAGAGGUGAAGCCACUUGCUCAGGGUCACACAGCAUUCUGAGUGUCAGAUUCUGCAUUUGAACCCCAUUGGCCUAAAUCUAAACCCCAGGCUCUUGUCACUUCCCCACAUGACUCCCCUGGGCAUCCAGGCCCAGGCGUGAACAGUCCCCUCCUGCCUCCUUCCAGCAGGGAGGAAGCUGGACUUUUUCCAAAGGAAACGCUGGGAAACACAAAACCCCAAACAGAAAACAGGGCAGGGAUGGUUCCCAGGCCCCAGCUGCCUCAGGGGUGAUGCAAGUCUAGUCAGGGCUGGGCUGGUCUGAACUGGUGUGGCCUCCCCAGAUGCAUCAAGGGAGGGUGGCAGCGUGCCACUUGCUGAGUGUCCACCACAUGUCAGGCACUUCAUAGAUGUCAUUCCUGGUACUCAGAAUGUGCCUGUGGGGUGGGUAGUUAGCCCCAUUUUACAGAUGAAGAAACUGAGGUUCAGAGAGGUAGAUGUCCUGCCGUGGUCCACAGGUCCCUGAGUGUCUAGGUUGGAUCUUGAAUGAACUGAGGAUGACUUCCUGCUCUUUGCCACCCUGGCCCCACCCUUGUCCUUCGCUGCUCAGUCCCCUUAUCUGAACCACCUCCACACCCCUGUUUUAUGGGAGGAAUGGCCAGAUGCUUCCUCUUGGGUCUCAGAGAUUCUGGGGUCUGGCUGGCCUGGCUUGAGGCCAAGUUGCAGGAGCCACUUUGGUAGUUCUCACGGCCUCAGUUUCCCCAACUGGAAAGUGGGGGUGAUUUUACUACUUCUGUUACUACUGGGGGGUUCAGCAAAGCCUGCGGUCUUUUGAAUCUGGAAGAACAGUCAGUGCCCUAAUAGAGGAUGUGCAAAGGUUCUGAGGCCAGAAAGAACUGGAUCCGCUGCAAGUCUGUGUGGCUGGGUCAUUGCCAGGCUGCAGUGGGGCUGCAGGUCCGGGUGGGAGUUUGACCACAGGGCCCUGGAGGUCAGGUUGAGGAGAGUGCCCUUGGGCAGUCAGUUUGAUUUCUAGGAAGAGCUCUGUGGCUGUGGUGAGGGGUGAGACCAGAGGCGGGAGGCCAAGUGACGAGGCCCUUGGGUUUCAAUAUCCCUUUUGUAUGGAAUGAGGCUGGGCGGUCCACGGAGCAGACCUUAUCCUCCAAUUUCCCAUAGAGGUUGUGUUUCCAGAUUCAGGGUUUCAUGUUACACAGAGUUAUUCUUUCUGGAAUGUGUCCCCCGAGCAACCCCGCUGGACCCUCUGUGGAAGGAGGGGCUCUUGUGAAGGCAAGAUGCACAUGUAUGCAGAAAAGCACAGCCCCCGGAGCCCGGGCUCAGCAGUAGUCUGUCCCUGAAUCGGUCCAGCCUGGAUUGGGACAGGCUGCAGACAACAACAGCGAUAGUAAACCAAGUUUUACUGGGGACUUGCUCUACCCAGUCCUAGGUGAAGCCUCUGCCAUCAGUGACCUCACGGGACCCCAAGAGGACCCCGAGAGUAACUGUCAUGGGGCCCAUUAUUGUACAGACAGGGAAAGCCUUGCCCAAGGCCCCUGAGCAGCCGAGCUGCUGCCCUUGACAUGUACCAGCCUCAGAAGGGGGUGUGAGGGGCUGUUGUUGAGCUCUGCAAGGUCCAGGCGUCCUGGCCCCCAUUCCCAGUGGGCAGAAAAGCCAGGAAAUCCCACCUCCGUGCCCAGCCUCCACCCGGCUGCAGACCAUGCCAUCUUGCCUGGCUGUUCCCCCUGGAAGAGCUGGCCAUGUGGGCUUUCCCAGACCCAGCGGAAUCCUCCCCAUGGCCUCUCCCUGGCCUCGUCUCUGCCUCCCUCCCCUUUGCUCUCCACGGGCCUCGCCAAGCCUGCUUCUCAUUUCAGCUUCUUGGAGUGGCUGUCCCCUAGCCAGAGAGGCUUUCUCCACUCUCUCCCGGCUUCCUCCUGUUCAUCCUGCCUGUCUCCUUGCAAAUGUCACCUCCUCCCAGAAUCCUGCCUCCCCUCCCAGCUAGAUCCGGUCCACCUCCUCCACGUCCUCAGCCAUCUCUCCUUCAGGGUGAGUGGGGUUCCCUGCCCCCUUCACCCCUCUGUCUCCAGGACUAAGCCAGGAAGGGUGAGGAAGGAGUGAGGAAUCGGAUCCAGGAACAACUUGGGGGAAAUUUCCCCUCUUUUGUGUUCUGGCCGUGUGGUGACAUUGACAGCAGCAGCGCAGAAAUGAGCCCGUGUGCUGGAUGGGCCCAGCACUCUACAGCGUCACUGAAUCCUCCUGACAGCCUUAGUGGAAGGGACUGCUACCGUGCCUGGGCUAUAGACGGGGAGUUGCAGCUCACGCAGGUGGAAGCACAUGCCCGGGAUCACAGAGGGACUGGCUGGUGGAGCUGGGAUUGGAGCCUGUAUCUCUCAGAGACCAGGCUCCUCCUCGAUGCACAUGCAUUCGUGUCCAUCCGUGGAUGGUGACCAGAUCUUUGCCAGCUGUCAAGGUCCCAGUGCUGUACACGCCCCAGAGAGAAGCCUGCCGGGUGGGUUGACAGCAUCCCUGCCCGCCACGUGGGCUGCCUAUUUGGGACCCAAACCCAUUUGGGCUCCUCUCAGUUGGGGGUCCUCUCAAUUGGGGGACGGUGGCGCACGGCACGCGGCCCCUCCUCACCCUGCUCAGGCAGUUUAGAGCCAGCUUACCAACAGGUUCUUGGAAGAAGGAGUGUUGAGAAGAAAAUGCCACUCAAGCCACUGUUGACACCAAGAGGGGACAACAGAAAACAUCAGAAGCACAACAGCCCGUCCUGCACUGCUGUCCUUCUGUUUUGCAAAAGGAGCUUCCCAAAGCUUGUAUUUAUACGUUUAUUUGUGUUUUUGGGGUGCUGGGGAUUGAAGCCAGGGCCUCAUGCAGCUAUGCGAGUGCUCUACCACUGAGCUACACCCGCAGCCAAGUUUUAUUUUUAUUUAUUUAUUUAAUAUGAAAAAUUUUUAAAUAUGGAAAAUUUCAAACUUAUAUAAAAGGAAAAUAAUGUACCCAUCACCCAGCUCUGUCACCCAUUGUUAAAAUUGCCCAACAAUUUUAACUCAGGCACAAUCUAGUUUCACCUCUAUCUUGGAACUCUAAUUCUCUUAUCCCAAUAGAGGUUUUUUUUUUUUUUUUUUUUGCAGUGCCAGGGAAGGAACACAGGGUCUCAUACAUGCCAGGCAAGUGCUCUACCGUGGAGCUACAUCCCUUGCUCCCAACAGAUUAUUUUAAACCAAAUCCCAGACACUAUAAUAUCUCAUUUAAGACAAUUUCAAAAUAUAUUUUCAAAAGAUACGGAAAUCUUUUUAAAAAAUAGCCAUGGUAUCAUUAUCAUACCUGGAAAAAUCAUCAUCAAACCUACCCAAGGUUUUAGCAUUUCCCUGCCUGUCUCAGAUGCGUCCUGCGCCUUCUGCAAGGUCUAUGUAUCUCCCCCGCCUCCCCCGCCCUGCAGUUCAUCUGUUGGAGAAACCCAAUUGUUUGUCCUGCAGCCUUCUCCCCACCUGGAUCUGCUGCCUGGAUUCCUGUGGGGUCCUUUAACAUGUGUGUCUGCCGCUGUAUUUCCUGUAAUUAGAUCUAGAGACUUGAUCAGAUUCAGGUUCAAUUUUUGGCAACGAUUCUUCACAGGAGGUGCAGUGUCCUUCCGUCAGGAGCUCAUGACAUCUUGCUGUCUGUGUGUGUGUGUGUGUGUGUGUGUGUGAAGUUGGCUGUGGCUGAUGUUCAUUGAUGAGGUUUAUUGAUUCACUCAGGAUCACACAAUUUCAUUUAUUAGCUAGAAUAAUUGAAAAAACAGCAAUGUGUCCUUAUUAACACUUUUUUUUUUUGCGGGGGGGGGGGCGGGGAUACCGGGGAUAGAACUCAGAGGUAUUUAACCACUGAGCCAUACCCCCAGCCCUUUUUAUUUUUUACUUUGAGAAGGCUAAGUUGCCUAGGACCUCCCUAAAGUAGCUGAGGCUAGCUUUAAACUUGUGAUCCUCCUGCUUCAGCCUCCCGAGCCACUGGGAUCACAGGCGUGUGCCACCACACCUGGCCAAUACCCGCUGCCAUUCUUGUGACAUUCCCCUUGGGCCGGAGAGGACUUCUCUGGUUUGCCUUCUGAGGCCUUUGGUCCCUAUAGAAUCGUCUGGCUUCUUUGCUUUCUGGAAUAGCAAGUUGCUCUUGACAAAUCUUGUACAUUUUCCGUUCCAGCUGAGAAACCGUCAUUUCUCAAAGGAGUCUCGGCUUCCUUGACUGAGGAAUGGGGUGCAGAUACCACAGUUAGGUUUAAGCACUGUUUUCUGCUAUUGGGUUGGUCCUGGUCUCUGGGAUUUUCAGUGAGGAGAGUGGGAAAUGCACUAUUUACUCUGGCAUUGGGGGUUGGACCCAGGGGUACUCUGUCACUAAACUGCAUCCCCAGCCUUUUAAUUUAUUAUUAUUAUUUUUAAAUCUUGAACAGGUCUUGCUAAACUGCUGAGGCUGGCCUUGAACUUGUGACUCUCUGACCUCACCCUCCCCAGUACCUGGGAUCAUAGAUAUGCACCACUGUGCCUGGCUUGAAAUAAAUUAAAAAAAAAAAAUCAAAUACAUCAUGAGUCCUGAUUCCAAAACUGGGAAGCAACCCAGAUGUCCUUCAACAGGUCAGUGGGUUAACUAACUGUGGUACACCCAUACAGUUCAACAUUAUUCAGCUAUAAAAAGAAAUGGCCUUGAAUACAUAUUGCUAGGUGAAGACGUCUAUCAGUAUGAUUCUAAUUAUGUGAUAUUCUAGAAAAGGCAAAACCAGGGAGUAAGAAAUCAGUGGUCGUCAGGUGUUGGGAGGGAGGCAGGAGGGCUUAUCCACCUAUUUGGUGGAGCAUGGGGGAAUCUUUAGAGUAAUGAAACUAUUCUGUGUGACACUACAGUAGUCCUCCCCUACGCUCCUAGUUUUAGUUACCCAUGGUCAGCUGUAGUUCAAAAAUAUUAAAUUGAAACUUCUCCAAAAUAAACAAUUUUUAAGUUUGAAAUUGCAUUCCAUUCUGAGAAAUCUCAUAUUUUCCUAUUUUGUCUCUCCAGGACAUGAAUCAUCCCUGGGUCCAGUGUAUCCACACUGUAUAUGCUACCCACUGGUUAGUCACUUAAUCACCAAUGUGAUUAUCAGAUUCCCUGUCAUGGCAUUGCAGUGCUUGUGCUUGAAUACUCUGUGCCACAAUGCCUACUUCAUUCACCCCCGUUCAUCUUGUCACUAGCCAUUGUCUCGUCACACAUCAUCACAAGAAGGGUGAGUACAGUACAGUUAAGAUAUUUUGAGAGACCACAUUCACAUCACUUUUAUUACAGUCUGUUGUUCUGAUUGUUCUACUUUAUUAUUAGUUAUUACUGUUAAUUUCUUAUUGUGCCUAAUUUAUAAAUUAUUAAUUUACAAAUUAAACUCUAUCAUAGGCAUUCAUAUGGGGAAAAUUAUUUAUACACACACACACACACACAUACACACACGUGUAUAUUUCAGUACUAUCUGGAGUUUCAGGUAUCUGCUGGGGCUCUUGGAAUGUAUCCCAUGGAUAAGGGGUCACUAGUGUAUAAGGUAGAUAAGUGUCCUUAUGUAUUUGUCAAAACCCAUAGAAACACAGGGUUCACACUCAGGUAAAAUUUAACUUCAGUUAAUAACAAUGUAUCAAUAUUGGCUCAUAAAGUGUAACAAGCUUACUCCAUUGAUGGAAGAAGUUAACAGUAGGGGAGAGGGAGGAGAAGGAAUAUAUGGAAACCGUACUUUCUGCUCAAUUUUUCUAUAAACCUAAAAUUGCUCAAAAUAUAAGUAUAUUGAUUUAUUUUUUUAAAUCAUGAGGUCAUAACAACACUUCUUACUUGAAUUCAGGACUACAGUAUUUUUGCCUGACUUACAUCUGUAUGUCCUUUGUCUUAUGAGAAAUGACCUUUCUUUUUGCUUCCAUUUGCUGGGAGCCACUUAACAUGCAUAGCAUGCUGAGCUAAUACCAACCUCCAUCUCCUCAUCCAUGGGGGCUGCUCUAACAAAAUACCUUAGACUGGGUAAUUUGAAAGCAACAGAAGUUUAUUGCUCACAGUUCUGGGGGCUUAGAAGUUCAAGAUCAAGGCAGCAACAGGUUUGUUAUCUAGUGAGGUGCUCCCAGGCUCUGCUUCCAAGAUAGGGACUUCUAGCUGCAUGCUCUCAUGGAGGAAGGGCAAAGGACAACUAUGCUCCCUCAAGCCUCUUAUGGAAGACCAUCGAUCAAGUUCCUGAGGACGGAGCAGCCCCCUGAUAUGAUCCCUUCUUAAAGGCCCCCCUCUUGACACCAGGUUGCAGGUUAGCUUCCAACGUGGAUUUUAGUGGGACUGACACAAAAUAUUCAGGCCACCGCACACCAACGGUACUAACUUUUUUUUUUUUUCUUGCAGCUGAGUCAAAAUUCCUAUUUCAAAAUCACUUGGAGUAAUUCUUCUCUAUGGUGCUAAUGGUACCAACUUGCCAAAAGUUGGCUUUUUUUUUUUUAAUUUCUUGGGCUGGGGAUGUGGCUCAGUGGUAGAGUGCUUGCCCAGGAUGUGUGAGGACCUGAGUUCAAUCCCACUGCUACAAAAAAAAAAAAAAAAAAAAAAGUUGAUAUUCAGAAUUUCUUUUUAAACAUUUCAUGUCAUUUUAUAAUAUGGUCUCCAAACAGCUUCUAAAAACAAGGAAUAUUAUAUGUAUUCUUUCUGCUCUUCUUCCCUAUUCCCUAUUGGUACUGGGGAUUGAACUCAGGGGCACUCAACCACUGAGCCACAUCCCCAGCCCUAUUUUGUUUUUUAUUUAGAGACAGGGUCUCACUGAGUUGCUCGGUGCCUUGCCUUUGUUGAGGCUGACUUUGAACUCGUGAUCCUCCUGCCUCAGUCUCCAGAGCCGCUGGGAUUACAGGUGUGCACUCCCGGCCCUUCCUCGAAUUUUUACUGCUUCAAGGUUUUGGUUUGUACUUAAAUCCAUUUUAAAGUUUAAUAAAUGCUUCUGUACUUCUUAGAUAAAAGUGAGAAUAAUCUAGACAUUCUUCUCCAAAUUAUAAACCAAAUUUCCUUCUAGUCAAACUCCAGAUAUUUUCAGAGGAUAGCUGAACUCAGACUUUGUACAUCAUCAUAAUCUACCCCAAUGUUUGUUUUGUGUGUGUGUGUGGGGGGGUGCUGGAGAUCGAACCCAGGGCUGUGUGCAUGUGAGGCAAGUGCUUCACGGCUGAGCUACACCCCAGCCCCAAUCUACCCAAUUUGAAAUGCAUUAUUUCUACUGUUACAAGAGCCUAGUAUAUAUCCAGGUAUCAUAUAAAGGACUUUCUACAUGUUAACCGAGUUUUCAAACAACACUGUGGAGUGGGUAUUACCCUCAUGUUUUGCAGAAGGGGAAACUGGAGUCAAAUAAGCUGGGAUAUGAACUCAUCUAUCCCAGGAACUGGGGUACAGAGAUGACCCAGAGGGUCCUGACCUCAUGGGGUUCACAUCUAGUGGGCUACUCAUGCCUGGGCAGACAACUGUGGUCUAGGAGUGUCUGUCUGUCCACCUACUGUACAAGGAGUUCCUCAAGGGAACCUGUGUCUGGUCCACUCUGAUUGGCGGCCCAGCUCAGCAGAACUCAGUGCAUGUUUGUUGAAUGACAAAACAAAUAAAGGAAGAGGGAAGUUAAAAGGAAAACAGAACUCGAGGUAGUAAUGGGAGCUGUAUGCUCCUUAGACUUGGAAACAUUUGUAAAAAUUAUAAUGACUUUUAAAUUAUGAAUAUAAAGUACUUUGUUAUAGAAAAUUUGGUAAGUGUAGAAAAUGAGAACAUAAAAAUUAUCAUAAUACCAGCUUUCAGAGUUAGUCUUUUUGUUUAUUCCUUUGGUCUUCCUUAUAUAUGGCUAGUCUUUUCAAAAAACAUUUGGAUCAUAUAUAUAUAUGAUAUGCAGUUUGCAUUUUUAAGAAAAUCACUAACAAUCUAUCAUGAACAUUUUCCUAAUUGAACAUCCACUUAAGCCUAAGUGUCUACUUAGGGUUUGGAUUUACUUUCACCAGUGAUGUCAUCCUUCACCGUAUAAAAUAAUUAUAAACUCAAGAUUAAGGCUGAACUCGCAACAGGAAGAAUAUGCAGCAGCCCUGGAGACAGAGCUCUGUUUCUUAGCUCUGAUUGCAUAACCCUUUCCCAGCAAAUGCCAGGAAAAUGUGGAGAGGACAUUAGCCGGGGGGCAUCUGCCGUCCUCAGCCCUUAAAUACUGGGAGCUGCGUCCUCCGCACGUCCACUUUCUUCCAGUUCUGAUCUCCACAGGUGCCACCAGAAUUCCCUCUUGUCUGCAGAGAGGAGCUGCCGGGCAGGCAGUAGAACCUGAGACCUCAACCCCAGCCCUGCUCCACUGAGAUGGCUGUGUGACCCUGACCAGGAACUUCGCCCCUCUGCUGCAGUCCCUCAUCUGUAACACAGGGCACCAACUGUGCCCACCUCCCCAGGCAGCCGAGAGGAGUUCACAGCACAGUGCCCGACACGUGAUAAGCCACCAAUAAAAUCAGCCGUUAUUAUCAUUAA
rnacentral:lncRNA from 1 species